rnacentral:tRNA from 1 species
GCGUCCGUAGCUCAGUCGGAUAGAGCAUCAGGCUUCGAACCUGAGGGUCGUAUGUUCGAGUCAUACCGGGCGCG